UCAAAUGCCGGGUCUCUAAAUUUUCUCAAUAGUGUCCACCAAAACGAUCAGUUUUCUUGUUGUGCAAUAAUUUACAAGCCAAAAGAUGAAAGGAAUUACGGGAUAUGCGGUGCUUACGUGCAUAAAUAUCCGGACCCCACUUCCCAAAACAGAGUGUGACCUAUAAGUUUUUUUUUUAAUGGCUCCAUAGUUGUACAUAAACGCAUUUAGAACUUUGCAAGACAUGUCUGAACGAGCAGCAAAUCGUGUUAUGUGUUCUGCGACAAACUGAUAAGGAUUCCAUAUAAAGAGUUGCCAGAUGUGCAAGUUUCCAAGGACAGUCCCGGGUUCAGAUCAAAUAAAUUGGUGUCCCAAAAGAUACUUUCGGGAGGGCAGUUUGCCCCGGAUUUCAGAGAAAUAUUGUCACACUUUCUACUUUUUCUCCUAAUUCUUCUGUGAAUCUAUAUUUCAACUCCAGCUGUUAAGCUAAUUAUGCAAGUUAUUAUUAUCGCAGCUGACUGAAUUUCUUAAGAAGUAUUAUUACGUGGCAACGCUGGUGAGGCAGAACUAUUGCCAGAGUCUGAUGAUUAUGAUAUGCCUGAAUGGGUCAGACAAAGGAGCUCUGAUCUGGCCCUAUUAGAUGAUGAUGAUGGACUUUUUUGAGGGUGUGGUGGAGUCGCCCGAUGAAGUGUUAAUGCCUUGGAGUCAGAGCAAAAAAGCGGUCGCGUCUCCACAGCAUCAGCACAGUGUGGCGUGAAUACCGGUGGUGGCUAAAGCUUCUUCCUCACCAAAACGGCGCCUGGUAAGACACGCAUGACCUAUAAAGGCGCUGCUACUUGCUGCAGCGGAAACCGACAUUGCCGCCACUGCCGCCACCCCGGCACCGCCGCUCUGGCUUCUGUGGGCCGAGCAACGAACCACCACCCCUCAAGUUACCAGGUCGGGUCUACAACAGCAUCAGGUACCAUCACCGCAGUCUGGCCGUUCCCACCGUUCAGACCUGGUAGCACCGCAACAUCCUCCUCCAUCAUCAUCAUCGUAUCAGCCUCGUCAGAAUCGGUGUUAACACAAGCAGGUUGUAGCGAGACUUUGAAUUUCGCCGCGCUACACUCGUUCCCUCAGAUAAAAA